UCAGGUAGCUAAUGCAAAUGAUCCCCAACAACAGAAUUCAAAUACUUCAAUACUUCAUAUGGAAAGCAUUACCACAGGAAAAUAAACUCGAGGAAGCAGGCAACCGGCCCUGAAAACUUGUCUUCUGGCAUAUUUCAGAAAGGCAACUGAUGAGCUGGUUGCUGACGGGCUGGUCCUGGGGCUGGCUGCUGAUGUGCUGGUUGCUGACGGGCUGGUCCUUGGGCUGGCUGCUGAUGAGCUGGUUGCUGACGGGCUGGUGAGACCAGGGUCUGGCUCUGGAGUCAUCUCUCCCUGGUACCUCCUUAUAAAACAGAAACAUUCACUCAUGUUCUGGAAUGCGGUAUCCCCAAAGACAUCGUAUAUCGCCUGUCAGUGUUAUCUCCCAGAGGCCCAUCCUCAAUAGAACACACACAGAUGAGCGUUCUAACAACCCCUUAUUCUGUUUCAAAAAACAACCAUUUGAUGCAAUAAAAGUAUUAUAACAAUC